GGAGGGGACAAACUGUUGAGAGGAAAGCAGGGAGGAUGCUAAAGAGACCCUGAAAAGCAGGGAGGAGUUAGGAGCCUUUCAGCAUGAGAAGGGAGAGCUGCCCCCUCAGCAGGGCUGAGGCUCGGAGUCCAUCCUAGAUGAUGUCGUGAGCAUUCCCCCAGAACUCAACAAGGAUAUAAAGUGCCAAGUGAAUGAUGCUGUGGGGUGUCUUUACAAGAAUAGCAUUACCUUAAAUAAACUAGUCAUCCUUGACUACAGGAAGAAGAUCUAGAGUGGUUUGGAGCAGGAGCUGGUUUUCUGGAGCUUACUCCCCUCCGUCAGCUAUGCUACGCUAGAAAACAGCCACGUGUGGAAGUGCUAACUGAGAUGACAAAUCAGUACAUGGCAAACCUGGGGAAACCACCAAGGUAGCUGUGCUGCAGGUUCUGUGCAUCGCUGCAGAGCCAGCGUAUCCUGAGCUGUCCUCAGAAAGCCCUGGAGCAUUCUGGGCUCUGUGUCCUCUAAAACAUGCUGCAGCCACCAGACAGCAAACUCGCAGGCUGCUGUAAGGACUGACGUGGGCUUGGCAGCUCCUGGUGUGAUUGAGGCGGAAUGAGUUUCCUCUGAUCAUCUCACUGCAGGUGUUGCGCUGAGGAUGCUGAAUCCUACCUGUAUCAAGGACUUCUGCAAGGAUCCUCUCUUGUGGCUGAAAAUCUCCAUGGGAAUGAGUGCUCGUGUUCAUGUUUCUGAAUUUUGUACAUAUCUUUCUACUUCAAUCAGCAAUUGUCAGCGAGUCUAAAUUGAAUGCAGCUUGUACGCGUAUUUCUUUGGGCAUCAUGGCCAUAAACAAGGCUCGGUGGUUUCAACCCUGUCUGCCAACAGUGCCAACUUUCAUGCUGUCAUUCCUUUUUCUCCCUCCCCCUCCUCUCAGUUCCCAUCAUUUGGCCUUCUGACUUGCCAAGAACUACUACCUGUUCUUUGGGAAAUGUUCUUGCUAUGAGUUACCCACGGAAAGUCUGAGAGGGUAAAUAUAUCUGGUUUAUUUUGAGGAAAUUUGCAUAGAUGACCAUAGCUCUUGCAUUUCUGAGUGCAUAUCUUCCUACCCAGCUUGUCAUCUGUAUGUAGAGCCUCUGAGACUGUGGUGGCUUCUGCACAUGCAAAAUCUGUUUUGUUGAGUGAAUGUCAAUGCUUUCUGGAUGUAAACCUGUGUAUAUAAAAUCAAGGCUUGAAACAGGAGAUUUGAGGAUGUGUCCCUCGUGUCUUGACCUUGGGAAUCAAGGCUGGCAGAAGUGAUAACACCAGAUUAUUACCUUUCUUCUUAACCAGCAAAGGAUGAGGAAAGUGGAAAUCAAAAGGUGAUUUCUAGCAGUUGUUCAGUGGAGAAUACAGUAAGCUUGGGGCCGUGUGGGACCUGCACUGACCUCAGCCCCCACCAAAGUCCUUCCAGCAUCACUGCUGAAAUGUCAUCUGGUAGCCACUGAGUAGGACGGCAGGCACAGGGGCUUCCCCACAACCUGCCACUAUUAUUAGGCUGCUUACAUCUCCCUUUUGUGGGCUUGCAGGCAGCUCACUGUGGGGCACAAAGUGAAGAAUAAAAGUCUGUUCUGGGUGAAUAGUGGUCAAUGUGCCAGCUUUGGUAUUACUUCUCACUUUCUUUGGUGAAGAAGGGUUUUGGAAGGUAUUUAGUCUCUCUUGCCGAUGUGAAACUUAACAGUUUCAUGGGGAGGAGGGGAAAAGGAGGGCAGAAGUGUUAACCUUACAAAUGUUUGAUGCAGAGCUAAUUUGCACACUGCAGCUUCCUGGGCAGCCUGGACAAACAUCUGAGCUGUGCAUGUCACUGAGCUGUGUGCAGCACUGUACCUGACUUCCCAUUGUAUGCAUUCUCUGUCCAACUAGAAAGCCAACGAAAGCCCUCCCAUGGCCCAGCUCACCAUUAUCCUGCUGCUCCUACGACAUUGCAUGUAAGCACAAGUUUAGUUCAAUUCGUUCAUCUUUUGCAAUGCCCCAAUUCAUCACCUCUGAGUGUUUUAAAAUACUUUAAUCCUUGCAUGCUCCUGCUCUCCUUGUCCUCCAGGGAGCCCUAAUUCCCACAGGCACCAUUUGGCUACCGACGGAAAUUGCACACCUGCUUCUUGCUGCUCCUUGCCAAGUGCUGCAAUGCUUGCUUCCCUCUUAUCGGCCCCUUCUGGCACAGGAAUUCAAACCUCUCCUAAUGUGUGCCUUUGGUUGCUUGGUAAAGAAGGAAGGUUAAUGACUGGGGUGGGUCAGAGGAGGAAAGACAUCAUCUCGUGCUCUGGCUUAGGUGGGAGGGAAGGUGGCAGUCACCUGUCACCACUGACCCAUGGGUUUUGGACACAGGUUUGUGUACACCUGAUUACUGUGAGAUGCCUUGAACUGGUUUUCCAUCGCUUUGCGCUGAGCAAUGAUGGAUGCAUUUCUGCCUGUGGUAUCAUUAUCCUCUGCCUACCCCCAGAGCAGCCUCAUCAGUUGGAGUUUGCCAUGCAGUCAUUAGGGGAGCUCUAACAAAGGCUGCUCUGAAAGUGAGUGUCUUGAUGAGGCCCAAUUUAUUUCACAGUUGUUAUCCUGUUGUCCUGAGAUGGCAGCAUGGCACUGGAAGGGGUGUCUGGCUUAUUUAAGAAGCAGGCACAGAGAUGUUUCUUGGCCUGCAGGAGGAAUGGAGCAGCACGAGGCACUCCUGGUGCUCUUAAAUAAAAGAAACAGUUAUUUUUUCCCUGGUUUUAUUGGGAUUAACUGACCCACUGAAACACACCUUCAAGCUGGGUGCUGUAAAAUUUGCAGUGGAAAACCUGCUGUCAACCCAGCAGAACAGAGCUUCCAUGCUUUCUGCCUGGAGGUGGAGGUUUUCAGACACAGGUGGGAGCUGGGAGGUGCCCUUUGGGACCACAAGAUGUGAUGUGACUGUGCUGCAGUGUCAGCAUUGCAUCAGUCGUACAUCUCCUGGAUCCUGCUUCAUUUUCUCUCAUCUCCAGGCCCCCCACAGUCAUUCCCAUGUUUCCAUUGGUCUUUGAAGCCUCCUGCGGCCUUCAAGUGAUGCCUGCCAUCUUUCAGCUUCAGAGAUUUCUUCAGAAUAUCGUGACAGCAAGCUAAGAUGAGAGGAUUUUGAUGUCACAAAUGCAAGGAAAAAGCUGUGCCUGGUGUGCAGGACACUGCCCUUGGGAACAGGGCGGGUGAGUGCUGCUGGCUGGAUUUGCCAGUCUCACUGAUGCUCCUGAGGAGGAGCAAGGACAAGCACGUCUGCAUGAUUAA